rnacentral:rRNA from 1 species
GGGUUGUGAGGUUAAGCGACUAAGCGUACAUGGUGGAUGCCCUGGCAGUCAGAGGCGAUGAAGGACGUGCUAAUCUGCGAUAAGCGUCGGUAAGGUGAUAUGAACCGUUAUAACCGGCGAUUUCCGAAUGGGGAAACCCAGUGUGAUUCGUCACACUAUCAUUAACUGAAUCCAUAGGUUAAUGAGGCGAACCGGGGGAACUGAAACAUCUAAGUACCCCGAGGAAAAGAAAUCAACCGAGAUUCCCCCAGUAGCGGCGAGCGAACGGGGAG